UGUAGGUUUUGCAAGGCUUGUAUCCCAUAAUGUUCAGUGAAGGCAUAACAUUACUAAUGAACAUGUCAUUGAAAACAGAACAAAGGAGACAGAACCAUUUGUAUUUUAUUUAAAACCACUUUCAUUUACUUCUUAUUUUCAUUCUUUAGCAAUCUCCCCUCAGUAGAAGAAUCAUGGGAAAUGGAACAGAAUGUACAAAGAAUGAUGCCCACACUGAGCCCCAAUAGUACCAAGUGGAGUUGCUUUUACAAAAGAAAAAAUGUCAUCAUCACUAGAAUAAGUUAAAAAAAAUCCAUUCCACACUGCUGGUUCUCUAGGACCCCUACUGUCUUCCCACCAGAAAUUCUCUCUUGUUCCCUCUGCAUUAACUUGAUCUUUCCAUGACACAAAGGCAUGUAAAAAAUCAAAUAAUGUAGUCAAGUCAUGUAACAAGUUAAGCUUACUAUAAGGAAGAGUCCAGGACAGUUUUCACUGGCCUAAAUUGCCCAGAAAUGACCUGUGCUUUGAAAAAAACCUAUGCUUUAUAUAAGAUUGAGGGUACUGUUUCAUGACCUGGGGCAGAGUUUGGUUCAUCAUGUCUAAUUUCUCUACCAAUCCUUUCUGAUAUUGUUAAAAUGGGAUAGAACUAUCCUUUAACAAGACCAUGUGUUAGACUGCUUGGACUGCUCUAACAAAGUAUCACAAACUAAUGACUUAAGCAACACAAAUUUAUUGUUUGACAAUUUGAGAGCCUAGAGGUCUGAACUCAAGAUAGGAUCUGUCCUCUCCGAAGACUAUGAAGGGGAAUCUUUCCAUGCUUUUUUCCCAGCUUCUGCAGGUUGGCUGGCAAUCUUUGGUGUUCGUAGACUGCCACUGUAUCACCCAUCUCUGCUUUUAUCUUCACCUGUCAUUCUCCCUGUGGGUGUGUCCAUACCAUAUUCAAAUUUCCCUUUAGGAAAUUCAGGUGCAGUAUUAUACACCGGUAGUCCCAGCACUUGGGAGUCUGAGGCACGACAAUUACAUGAACCCAGGAUUUUGAGACCAACCUGGGAAACAUAAUGAAAAGUUGUCUCAAAAAAAAAAAAAAAAAUCCCUUGGGCUGGGAUUGUGGCUCAG
rnacentral:lncRNA from 1 species